rnacentral:rRNA from 1 species
AGUUGAUAUUUGCGGCGUAAAGAGUGGUUAAGGAAUACAAAAACUAGAGUCGAACGUCCCCUGGACUGUCAUACGUGUCCGGGGAGCAGAAGCCCAUAUACGAAGGUGGCUCUACAACCCCUGACCCCACGAAAGCUAGGGCACAAACUGGGAUUAGAUACCCCACUAUGCCUAGCCGUAAACAUUGGUAGGUAUUCACAACCCCUACCCGCCUGGACACUACGAGCACCAGCUUGAAAUCCAAAGGACUUGGCGGUGCUUUAGACCCCCCUAGAGGAGCCUGUCCUAGAACCGAUAAUCCCCGUUGGACCUCACCUUCUCUUGUUAACCCCGCCUAUAUACCGCCGUCGCAAGCUAACCCUGUGAAGGCCUAAUAGUCAGCACAAUUGGCAUAGCCAAGAACGUCAGGUCGAGGUGUAGCGUAUGGGAAGGGAAGAGAUGGGCUACAUUCUCUGCAUAGAGCAUACGGACGAUAUCAUGAAAACUAUUUCCGAAGGUGGAUUUAGCAGUAAGCAGGAAGCAGUCAGUCCCGCUGAAGCAGGCUCUAAAGCGCGCACACACCGCCCGUCAUUCUCCCCAACAAUCUCGACAAAACUACAUAAAAAACUAGAACAU